UUAGAGUUAGGGUUAGUGUUUGGGUUAGCGUCAGUGAAUACUUGAAAUAACUAAAUGAGAAUUAUUUGAAUACUUAACACGAAAUUUUAUUUUAAAAUUUGAAUAUUUACAAGCGUUUAUUCUAGGGGACAAUCAGAAUUUUAAAAUGAGAAUAAUUACAAUAAAGACCUGAAAAUUUAAGUUUCACACCCGAAUAUCCCCCAGCCCUGUUUCAAGCCCUGACGGGGCGGAUCCCCAGCCCGCUCCCGCCCGCUCCCGGCCUGAAGAACGGGAACAGAUUCCCGUUUGGGCUUUCCAGGGCCGCCGAUCCCAGCAGCCGCCGCUCCUCGGCGUCGAAGAAGCGGAGGCGGCGCCGCUCGAGAUCCAGCAGCACCCCGAGCACGCGGCAGCGCCCCGGGCUGCGCUGCAGGAGCGCGCCCCGGAGCCGGAGCUCGCCCCGGGAGCGCGCCAGGGACGGGCAGCGGUGGGAACCUGGGGUGGGGUCCGGGAUGGAGGGGAGGGGGUGGUAGCGGUGGGAAUUCGGGGUGGGGUCCGGGAUGGAGGGGAUGGGGUGAUCCUGGUGGGAAUUCAGGGUGGGAUUUGGGAUGGAGGGGAUGGGAUGGUACCGGUGGGAAUUCGGGGUAGGAUCCAAGAUGGGGUCCGGGAUGGGAUUCAGGAUGGAAUUUGGGAUGGGAUCCUGAAUGGAAUCUUGCAGGGAAUCAGGGAUGGAAUUCGGGAUGGGAUCCAGGAUGGAAUCUGGGGUGGGAUCCUGCAGGGAAUCCCUCAGGGAAUCCCUCAGGGAAUCCCGGAUGGAAUCCCGGAUGGAAUCCCGGAUGGAAUCCCGGACCUCCUGCGGGAGCACGCCCAGCUCCCAAUCGCUGCCGUCUCCCAGCUCCACUUCCCAGUAAUGCUUCCCGUGGGAAAAUCCCUCCCGAGUCACGGCCAGGGCCCCGAGGCGGGGCCGGGAUCCGGGAUCGGAGCCAGGGAUUUGGGAUCUGGGAUCGGAGCCAGGGAUUUGGGAUCCGGGAUCGGAGCCAGGGAUUUGGGAUCCGGGAUCGGGGCCGGGGAUUUGGGAUCCGGGACUGGGGCUGAGGAUUUGGGAUCCGGGGAUUUGGGAUCCGGGAUCGGGGCCGGGGAUUUGGGAUCCGGGAUCGGGGCCGGGGAUUCGGGAUCCGGGAUUGGGGCAGAUCCAGGAUCGGCCCCGGAUCAGCAGGGCCGGGUGGGUGCAGCUCUCGUCCAGCGUCAGCGAGACUGGGAAAGAGUGGGGGGAGCGUUUGAUAGGGGUUUGAUAGCGUUUGAUAGGGUUUGAUAGGGUUUGAUAGGGUUAUGAUAGCGUUUGAUAGGGUGUGAUA
ensembl:lncRNA